AGCACAGCUUCAGGUUUUGGCUAUUCUCAUAGACAGAAAACCAUGGAGCAAGUGCUAAGAAUAAAUUCUUCUUUGCAACCCACGGCUGAUCUGUAUUGGCUGUGUUACUAAUAGGAAGGAACAUA